rnacentral:tRNA from 1 species
ACAGCGGUCUUGUAAAGUUUUUUUGGCACAACGCACUCGAAAUCAGUUUGCAGGCAACUGCACGUGGGUUCGAAUCCCACCCGCUGCGCCA